rnacentral:rRNA from 1 species
GGCGGSGUGGCSUAACACGUGSRAGUCAAAGGGAAGCAACUUCGGUUGUGGAGUACUUGGGGCAGGGGUGAGUAAUGGAUAGGUAAUCUGCCCUUUGGACUGGAAUAACCCCGAGAAAUCGGGGACAAUACCARAUGAUGCAGCGGAACCGCAUGGUUAUGUUGUUAAAGAUUUAUCGCCAAAGGAUGAACCUAUAUCCCAUCAGGUAGUUGGCAGGGUUAUAGCCUACCAAGCCUACGACGGGUAGCUGGUCUGAGAGGAUGAUCAGCCACAUUGGAACUGAGACACGGUCCAGACUCCUACGGGAGGCAGCAGUGAGGAAUAUUGCGCAAUGGGCGAAAGCCUGACGCACAACGGCGCGUGGAUGAUGGAGUUCUUCGGGAUGUAAGGUCCUUUUGUAGAGGAAAAUAUCCCGGUUUACCGGGACUGACGGUACUCUACAAUAAGCCACGGGUAACU